rnacentral:rRNA from 1 species
AGUGAACGCUGGCGGUAGGCCUAACACAUGCAAGUCGAACGGCAGCACAGUAAGAGCUUGCUCUUACGGGUGGCGAGUGGCGGACGGGUGAGGAAUACAUCGGAAUCUACUUUUUCGUGGGGGAUAACGUAGGGAAACUUACGCUAAUACCGCAUACGACCUACGGGUGAAAGCAGGGGGUCUUCGGACCUUGCGCGAUUGAAUGAGCCGAUGUCGGAUUAGCUAGUUGGCGGGGUAAAGGCCCACCAAGGCGACGAUCCGUAGCUGGUCUGAGAGGAUGAUCAGCCACACUGGAACUGAGACACGGUCCAGACUCCUACGGGAGGCAGCAGUGGGGAAUAUUGGGCAAGGGGCGCAAGCCUGAUCCAGCCAUACCGCGUGGGUGAAGAAGGCCUUCGGGUUGUAAAGCCCUUUUGUUGGGAAAGAAAAGCAGCAGGUUAAUACCCCGCUGUUCUGACGGUACCCAAAGAAUAAGCACCGGCUAACUUCGU